GGUCAAUGAUGAGAACUCAUACUGACAUGAAGAGAGAUGAUGACUUAAAAAUCAUGCUCAGGAGUUCCCGUUGUGGCGC
ensembl:snoRNA SNORD115 Small nucleolar RNA SNORD115